rnacentral:rRNA from 1 species
UACAGGGGGGGCAAGCGUUGUUCGGAAUUACUGGGCGUAAAGGGUCUGUAGGUGGCCAACUAAGUCAGACGUGAAAUCCCUCAGCUUAACUGGGGAACUGCGUCUGAUACUGGAUGGCUUGAGUGUGGGAGAGGAAUGCGGAAUUCCAGGUGUAGCGGUGAAAUGCGUAGAUAUCUGGAGGAACACCGGUGGCGAAGGCGGCAUUCUGGACCAUAACUGACACUGAGAGGCGAAAGCCGGGGGAGCAAACGGG